UACGUAGGGCGCAAGCGUUGUCCGGAAUUAUUGGGCGUAAAGAGCUCGUAGGCGGCCUGUUACGUCUGCUGUGAAAUCCCGGGGCUUAACCCCGGGCGUGCAGUGGAUACGGGCAGGCUGGAGGCAGGCAGGGGAGAACGGAAUUCCUGGUGUAGCGGUGGAAUGCGCAGAUAUCAGGAGGAACACCGGUGGCGAAGGCGGGUCUCUGGGCCGUUACUGACGCUGAGGAGCGAAAGCGUGGGGAGCGAACAGG
rnacentral:rRNA from 1 species